rnacentral:rRNA from 1 species
GAUGAACGCUAGCGGCAGGCCUAAUACAUGCAAGUCGAACGGGAUUAAGGAGCUUGCUUCUUAUGAGAGUGGCGCACGGGUGCGUAACACGUAUGCAACCUACCUUCAACUGGGGGAUAGCCUUCCGAAAGGGAGAUUAAUACCGCAUAACAUAAUUGAGAGGCAUCACUUGAUUAUCAAACGUCAGGGUUGAAGAUGGGCAUGCGUCCGAUUAGUUAGUUGGUGAGGUAACGGCUCACCAAUGCUACGAUCGGUAGGGGAUCUGAGAGGAUGGCCCCCCACACUGGUACUGAGACACGGACCAGACUCCUACGGGAGGCAGCAGUAAGGAAUAUUGGUCAAUGGACGGAAGUCUGAACCAGCCAUGCCGCGUGCAGGAAGACGGUCCUCUGGAUUGUAAACUGCUUUUGUUAGGGAAGAAACUUCCGUACGUGUACGGGACUGACGGUACCUAAAGAAUAAGGAUCGGCUAACUCCGUGCCAGCCGCCGCAGUAAAAC